rnacentral:tRNA from 1 species
GUCCCUAUCGUCUAGGGGUUAGGACAUCACCCUUUCACGGUGAAAACAGGGGUUCGAAUCCCCUUAGGGACG